CAGAGGCAGCCGGGAGGGGCUGGGAGAGGCACCAGGCAGGGAUGAUGGGCUCUACAGCCUGCCUGUAGAGAGCUCUAAACUCACAGGACCUUCUAGGGCCCCACCCAGAAGCCCACCAGGGUUCCGUGAGUUCCUGCACCAGCUCCAGGAGAAGUGCGCCGAGGAGCCGGAGCCACUGACAUCCCCAGCACCGCAACAUCAAAGGGGUGUAUUAGAGCACUGCCCAGGGUCUCCGCGGUGUCCCAACUGUUCAUUCCUCCCAGACCUGUGGGGCCAGUCAUCGCACCUCCAGGAUAGUCUUACGAAGAUUUCGCUCCAGCAGACACCUAUUCUGGGGCCCCUGAAGGGUGAUCACUCACAAUUCACCACUGUCAGAAAGGCCAACCACAGGCCCCACGGUGCACAGGUCCCCAGGCUCAAGGCUGCGCUGACCCACAACCCCUCGGGGGAAGGCUCUAGGCCCUGCAGGCAGCGUUGCCCUUUCCGGGUGCGAUUCGCUGACGAGACCCUGCAGGACACAACGCUCCGCUACUGGGAGCGCAGACGCUCAGGAAGAGCCCCCAUCCCUGAGACAGCCCUCCCUGAAGCCCUCAACGCUCUCAGCAUGGUUUCUGGGAUUUCUAUGAUGGGUCCAACAGAGCGUCAUUGUGAACCAGAAGGCCGCCCUGCCAGUGGCGUCCGAGCGGGUGUUUGGGAGUGUCGGAAAACGGCUGGAGAGUUUGCCCAAAGCCCUGUACCCUGGGGCCAAGGAGGAGACCCUGGCCAGCUCCUCGUGUUGGGACUGCGCUGGCCUGUCCACCCAGAAGACACAGGGCUACCUUUCUGAGGACACCUCCAUGAACAGCAGCCUGCCCUUCUGUUCAUGGAAGAAGGCCGCUGCUCAGAGGCCGCGAAGCAGCCUCCGAGCCUUCUUGGACCCGCACAGAAACCUGGAGCAGGAGUCCCUCCUGCCCAACCGGGUGCUGCAGUCGGUCCUGAAGCAAGGCUGCCCUAAGGGGUACCAUCUCCUCCUGGCCUCCGCAACACUGCAGCCAGAUAAGAGGUGAACACUCGCGAACCCAAGGCCAGGGGCACACAUGGGCCAGGCAAUGAGGAGCGUCCUUCCUUGCCCCACAAAUAAAGGCACAUCCCAGGUGGCUGGGACCUGCCAG
rnacentral:lncRNA from 1 species